rnacentral:rRNA from 1 species
AACGAACGCUGGCGGCAUGCCUAACACAUGCAAGUCGAACGGGAUCCUAGCUUGCUAGGUGAGAGUGGCGGACGGGUGAGUAACACGUGGGAAUCUGCCUUUUGGUUCGGGAUAACCGCGGGAAACUGCGGCUAAUACCGAAUGCCCUCGAGAGAGGAAAGAUUUAUCGCCAGAAGAGGAGCCCGCGUCCGAUUAAGGUAGUUGGUGGGGUAAAGGCCUACCAAGCCGACGAUCGGUAGCUGGUCUGAGAGGAUGAUCAGCCACACUGGGACUGAGAUACGGCCCAGACUCCUACGGAGCAGCAGUGGGGAAUAUUGGACAAUGGGGGCAACCCUGAUCCAGC